AUUGAACGCUGGCGGCAGGCCUAACACAUGCAAGUCGAACGGUAACAGGAAGAAGCUUGCUUCUUUGCUGACGAGUGGCGGACGGGUGAGUAAUGUCUGGGAAACUGCCUGAUGGAGGGGGAUAACUACUGGAAACGGUAGCUAAUACCGCAUAACGUCGCAAGACCAAGAGGGGGGCCUUCGGGCCCCUUGCCAUCGGAUGGGGCCAGAUGGGAUUAGCUAGUAGGUGGGGUAACGGCUCACCUAGGCGACGAUCCCUAGCUGGUCUGAGAGGAUGACCAGCCACACUGGAACUGAGACACGGUCCAGACUCCUACGGGAGGCAGCAGUGGGGAAUAUUGCACAAUGGGCGCAAGCCUGAUGCAGCCAUGCCGCGUGUAUGAAGAAGGCCUUCGGGUUGUAAAGUACUUUCAGCGGGGAGGAAGGGAGUAAAGUUAAUACCUUUGCUCAUUGACGUUACCCGCAGAAGAAGCACCGGCUAACUCCGUG
rnacentral:rRNA from 1 species